UACGUAGGCACCAAGCGUUGUCCGGAUUUAUUGGGCGUAAAGCGCUCGUAGGCGGUUCGGUAAGUCGGGUGUGAAAACUUUGGGCUCAACCCAAAGACUGCACCCGAUACUGCUGUGACUUGAGUCCGGUAGGGGAGUGGGGAAUUCCUGGUGUAGCGGUGGAAUGCGCAGAUAUCAGGAGGAACACCGGUGGCGAAGGCGGCACUCUGGGCCGGUACUGACGCUGAGGAGCGAAAGCGUGGGGAGCGAACAGG
rnacentral:rRNA from 1 species